rnacentral:lncRNA from 1 species
ACUUCAAAGCUCUUGAAAAUUUAGGAAACAUCUAAUUAUAACUGUUAGCCAACAAUGAAUUUGUGAAAUAUUCACAGCCUUUAGAAAAAGCAACUGGCGAUGUCAGAAAAAUUGUAAGUCGAGGAUUUGGAGUAAAUGACCUCCUGUUCUUAUUGUGCAUUUGCCAUGUACUGAAAGAAAAACAGGAAAGAGCCUUGCCAAGGUGUGGGGAGCAAAAAAGGGAAGGAAAAAAAAACCAACAAAAAUGAAAAGGAUUUUGUUGGCAGAAUUAAGACUUACAAAUUAUUGCUGCUCCCUUUCUCCCGACUUCUGUAAUGUAAUUGCUGUGUGCUAAGACUAAUUCACCAGAGAUGCUUCUGCUGUGAAGAUGGAAGCAGCAGCUCAUCGCUCUGCACAGAGCAGGUGGCUCCUCGGCGAUCCAGCCAGGACUGCAGGCAGCAGCAUGGGUUUUCAAGGUUGUUUCUUGGGCAUGUGUUCCCACAGCCCCACUCGGAUCCCAGACCAAACACAGAAGUAAGGGCACUUUCAGGGUUCCUUGCCAGGUCCCUGGAGUGGAACAAGGCAGCUAUUAUCCUGCGCCGAGUUCCAUCACCGCGUCACCCAGAGCCUCAAACAGUUCAACCACCGCACGCACAGAUCUCAGCAACAACACAAGAGCCACCACGGAGUGGAACCCAGACCAGGAAAACAAAUAACCACAUAACCCUGGGCGUGCACUAUUUAUUUUCUCCUCCAGCCCUGCACCCCUGUGAGUUCACCGCAGAGCCCACGCUGCGGUUUCUCUCUGCCCAGCAGCUUUGCUUCUGCUCGCCGACAGCGUCUCCUCCUCUCUGAGUAUUUCCGAACACAUCGCUGCCCACAACACACCCCAUCCCUCCAGGUGCACUGGCUUUGCUGUUGGGAUGCUGACACACACAGCUCCGCUUCCCUCGGAAGUUUCCCUGUCCCAUCCCUCUCUCACUGAAAGCAAUUAAUAUUGGCGACAAAAGGCACAUUUUUCUGCCCUGCUGGGGAGCCCCAAGAUUCCCAGGUGCUGUAAGACAUGCUGAGUUCACAGCAUUUCCCCCACAAGCCCUCCACAAUGCCAGCAAGCUGGAGUUGAUGCCGGUGGAUUAAUGGGAGGACUUUUUUUUUUUUGCUGCGCUAACGUCUCAACAUGCCAUACAUAAACAGCUUGUCCCUGAUUUACGGGGAGCAGUGGCCACCAUCUAGCACUGCUCAAGGAGAUUAGUGGCUGCUUUUCCAACCCUAUUUCAAGCCUCGAGGAGGUUUGCUAUUCGUCAAAAGUGUUCCUAAGCUCAGCCAGGCAUCAAGAUGAAUGUUUCCCUGGCAGAGCCUCUGCUCCCAUUGGAAGGGAGAGGGCUUUUGGGGACCCUCGCCCGCACGGGACCCACCUGCAAGGAGCAGAACCAGCUUGGGGGUCCCAAACA